rnacentral:rRNA from 1 species
AAAAACAUGGCCUUUUGAUGUGAAUUUAAGGUUUGACCUGCUCAAUGAGUUUUAAAUAGCCGCAGUAUCUUAACUGUGCAAAGGUAGCAUAAUCAAUAGUUUUUUAAUUUAAAGCUGGAAUGAAGGGUUGAAUGAAAAAAAAGCUGUCUCUAUGAAAAUUUUGUAGAAAUUUAUUUUUGAGUUAAAAAGCUUAAAUAUAAAUGAAAGACGAGAAGACCCUAUAGAGUUUUAUAUUUAUAGAUUAUAUUAUUUUUAGUAUUUUAAAAUUUAUUUACUUAUAAUAUUUGAUUGGGGUGAUUAGAAAAUUAAAUAAACUUUUCUUUAAUAAAACAUUUAUUUAUGAGAAAAUGAUCCUUUUUUUAGAUUAUUAGAUAAAAUUACCUUAGGGAUAACAGCGUAAUUUUUUUUGAGAGUUCUUAUCGAAAAAAAAGAUUGCGACCUCGAUGUUGGAUUAAAAUAAAUUUUUGGUGUAGAAGCUAAAUUCAAUUAGGUCUGUUCGACCUUUAAAAUUUUACUUGAUCUGAGUU